rnacentral:rRNA from 1 species
GACGAACGUUGGCGGCGUGCUUAACACAUGCAAGUCGAACGGAAAGGCCCUGCUUUUGUGGGGUGCUCGAGUGGCGAACGGGUGAGUAACACGUGAGUAACCUGCCCUUGACUUUGGGAUAACUUCAGGAAACUGGGGCUAAUACCGGAUAGGAGCUCCUGCUGCGUGGUGGGGGUUGGAAAGUUUCGGCGGUUGGGGAUGGACUCGCGGCUUAUCAGCUUGUUGGUGGGGUAGUGGCUUACCAAGGCUUUGACGGGUAGCCGGCCUGAGAGGGUGACCGGCCACAUUGGGACUGAGAUACGGCCCAGACUCCUACGGGAGGCAGCAGUGGGGAAUAUUGCACAAUGGGCGGAAGCCUGAUGCAGCAACGCCGCGUGCGGGAUGACGGCCUUCGGGUUGUAAACCGCUUUCGCCUGUGACGAAGCGUGAGUGACGGUAAUGGGUAAAGAAGCACCGGCUAACUACGUGCCAGCAGCCGCGGUGAUACGUAGGGUGCGGGCGUUGUCCGGAUUUAUUGGGCGUAAAGGGCUCGUAGGUGGUUGAUCGCGUCGGAAGUGUAAUCUUGGGGCUUAACCCUGAGCGUGCUUUCGAUACGGGUUGACUUGAGGGAGGUAGGGGAGAAUGGAAUUCCUGGUGGAGCGGUGGAAUGCGCAGAUAUCAGGAGGAACACCAGUGGCGAAGGCGGUUCUCUGGGCCUUUCCUGACGCUGAGGAGCGAAAGCGUGGGGAGCGAACAGGCUUAGAUACCCUGGUAGUCCACGCUGUAAACGGUGGGUACUAGGUGUAGGGUCCAUUCCACGGGUUCCGUGCCGUAGCUAACGCUUUAAGUACCCCGCCUGGGGAGUACGGCCGCAAGGCUAAAACUCAAAGGAAUUGACGGGGCCCCGCACAAGCGGCGGAGCAUGCGGAUUAAUUCGAUGCAACGCGUAGAACCUUACCUGGGUUUGACAUGGAUCGGGAGUGCUCAGAGAUGGGUGUGCCUCUUUUGGGGUCGGUUCACAGGUGGUGCAUGCCUGUCGUCAGCUCGUGUCGUGAGAUGUUGGGUUAAGUCCCGCAACGAGCGCAACCCUUGUUCACUGUUGCCAGCACGUUAUGGUGGGGACUCAGUGGAGACCGCCGGGGUCAACUCGGAGGAAGGUGGGGAUGACGUCAAGUCAUCAUGCCCCUUAUGUCCAGGGCUUCACGCAUGCUACAAUGGCUGGUACAGAGAGUGGCGAGCCUGUGAGGGUGAGCGAAUCUCGGAAAGCCGGUCUCAGUUCGGAUUGGGGUCUGCAACUCGACCUCAUGAAGUCGGAGUCGCUAGUAAUCGCAGAUCAGCAACGCUGCGGUGAAUACGUUCCCGGG